GAUACAAGGGUCAAAAGGUCAGAAUUCGUUCCUGCUUGCAGGAAAAGAGUUCUGACUUGUUGACCCGCACACACAUGAGGAAGUAGUGAUUUUUCUUGAAAAAUCAACGGAUUCCGAAUGUGUGUAGAAUUGCGGGAGUUGCACAGCAACAGAGCAAUUCGU
rnacentral:sRNA from 1 species